GAAAUGCGAUAAGUAAUGUGAAUUGCAGAAUUCCGUGAAUCAUCGAAUCUUUGAACGCACAUUGUGCCCUCUGGUAUUCCAGGGGGCAUGCCUGUCCGAGCGUCAUUGCGAACCCCUCAAGCACGGCUUGUGUGAUGGGCCCUCCCGCGUCUUGGUCGUCAAGACGGGCCCGAAAAGCAGUGGCGGCUUCGCGGUUAUCCGAUCAGCCAGAGCGUAUGGGGACUUUCUCUCUGUCACACGCCCGCGGCGCGGACCGACGCCUGUCGACCUUUAUUCAUCUUUUUCUCGGUUGACCUCGGAUCAGGUAGGGAUACCCGCUGAACUUAAGC
rnacentral:misc_RNA from 1 species